AUAGGUGACUGAGCCCUAUGAGUGCAAAUCUGUCCUUGAAGGAUCUCUUCCUCCGCCUCCAAAAUUACAAAACCCAUCCCCAUCCAUUCAUCACUCGCUGCCCACGAGCCAUCUACUUGGCAAGUGUACCGACAAUCCGUUCUAGUAUGUGACGGCGGUAGGGGUUGGUGUCUUUGUAUUCAAGGUUCGUCCUCUUCUGUUAUCUCGUCUCCUUGCUGUGCUACCUUCCAUGUUUCAGCUUCUUGUUGCGCCAGUUGAAGGGUAUCGAGGGGAGAAAUAUCUUUUGCAUUGAAGCACUUCUCGUUCCUUGCCUUCCACACAUACCAAAUCAGCCAAGGAAACAUUGAGAAGCCAUUCCCUCUGUCUGCUGUGGCCACCUGUUACAGUAGAUAUUCAAAAUUCGCAUAUAGGGAAGUACACGGGCAAAGCCCCGGAGGUGUUGGAAUCGGCGAGAGAAACCACCAUUGAAAGGCAGAUGGGCAUUCAAACAGUAUAUGGUUUGUAUCUCAAUCUCAGCUCCACAUCGUUGACAUGUAGUAUCUGUCCCACAAUGCCUUUCGACCAGCUUACUUACCGAAAACACAUAGCCCAAAGGGCUUGCCAAAGGAAGUGUUUGAUCUUUCUUGCCGUCUUUAGUUUCCACACUUGUUUCUUCAAAGGUGUUAUGCUUGGUUCGACUAACGGGUAUUACAAGAUAUUAUUUGUAUCAUCAAAAUCUAUCAUUUUAUAUGGUUAUUCUCAACCAUAUUGACUUUAAAAACUACAAUACACGUGUCACUUUCAGUCAUAUUGGUCUUAGAAUUUUCAUUAUUUUUGCAUGGUCAAUCUUUUUACAAAUUGUAUUAAAGCAUUAACGAAAUAUAAAUGUUUUGAUCAGUAUCAAUAAACAUUUAAUUCCCAUGGCAAAGAGAUUUAUAUGUAUCAGACCUCUUUCAAACUUAAUUUGGGUCGUCGACUCACGAAAACUAUUUCCAUCCAUAUUAUUCGAUCUUUUAAAGAUAAAAAGUAUUGUUUAUAAAAUCAGUAUAUUUCACCAUUGAAACUAAAAUCUUCUUUCUUUUCUGAUGAUCAAAUACUUAAUAAUUAAAUUAAGUUAUUCCAAAUGAUCUGAAACAAGAAAUCAAAAACGUUUAGCAUUCUUGAUAAUUAAAGCAAAACAAUUAUCUUUAACCAAAUCAAAGCAUUUACAUUCUUGACCGAUAAAAAAUCAAGAUACCAAAACGGAAUCUUAAAGUCUAAAACGUUACGACCAUUAAUAUAUUGCAAAAAAAAUAAAAAAUCAACGCAUCAACAUAUAUGUAUAAACUGCAAAAUAGUUAAGCCAAUAUAAUGAAGGAUGAUCAUUGCUUGCUAAAUCAUAAAGCAUAUCAACGAACAAAAAAAGCAUUGAAGAGAUUGUAUUGAUAAAAUGAUACCCAAUGAAUGGGAUCGAAGAUUGAAUAACUAUCAAUCCAUGAGCAGAGUUAUUUAUUCCUCCGAACACCUGUGCUUUCGUUAACAAAUACGUUAGCGAAUUUUAGUAUUAUUAAGAAUAAACAAUCCUUUGACAGAUAACUUUAAAAGAUCUCCAUAGUGAAAAAUAAUCUGAUGGAAAUAGACUGAUUUUCCAAUAAUAAAUUCUUCUUGUUCCUAUUUUUAUUACAAAAUACUUCAUAAAAUAAUCAGUUUUCGUUAGUCUAAUAAUACAAACGAAAAUUUACAAAAUUAAGAUUGUAACAGCAGAUCCAAACCUAUUCCGACACCAAUCUGAGAAUAGUGAUUGGCCUGUUCUUAAAAAAUAACCUCUUACAAAUAUCAUUAAUUAUUAUUAGUGCAAAAGCAUAACCAAUCUAUCUUUAUAUUACAGUUUGCUUCACUCCUAUGCCAUCCACAUGGGAUUCCACAUCAUUAAUUCGAACUCCCAAAACGCGCCACGUGUCCCGGCCAUUUAAAAUGUUGCACUUCAUUUAAUUGGAAAUCUGCUGGGCUUUUUGCAACGCUUUUUCAAAUCGGUAGCGUGAUAUGUGUACUUUGUUUUUUUCUUCUUUACGAUAGACUGUGAUUUUGGUCUGACAGAUUAAAUUAAAUGGGUUUUCUAAAUUUGUUGUGUUUACUGAUCAUAAACAGACACCCUCUCCGACUUCAACAUUUUCAUAUUUUAUUUCUAGGGUUCAUAGUGUUCUUCAUCCUCUGCUUUGGUAAGCUGUCCAUGGAGUUUUUGAACGGUGAUGAUAGAGGACUAUUUACGGAGAAUCUCAGAAGCAAUUUGCCAUACGUGUUUUAAUGCUGGGUAAGGGAAAUUGAAACGUUACGGAUGCAUUCAAUCGUUGUCAUUAACUACCAUCUUAACUCCUUUAUCCUAUUCAUAUCAUGAUCCUCAUUCAAUGCACCUCCCCUCUCUUCAGUCGGUGGAUCUCAUUUAUAAAAAGGUCAGCCGUCAUGCCCUGAACAUCAUCCUUUCAUUCCUUACAAUCCAAAAAAAAAAAUCUGCAGAAUGGUGAUCUCAUCUAUCCUUCUCAAUGAUUUAAACUCAGGUCGCUGUAGGCCAUCGACGAAGUCUGUUUCCUCAAUUUUGGGAGGCGAAGAAUGUGCAGAGAGGCGGCAAGCAUAUCUUUGUCGAUAUGAUUCCUCUUGGCUCGAAGUCGAUGCAACUGAGGACCCCUUUACAUCACUUAAACCAAGAGGAACGAUUGGCUCCCACUACGACACAUUCAAUACCCCUCCCCUUCUCCAUGGUUACAGCAGAAAUCUUCUCCUAUAAAUAAGGAUGUAAUCUUCGAUUGAACUCAUCACUAUGAUGAUAAAGUUUUGGGUUUCAUCCAGGGAUAUGAAUGUGUCUUUGAUAUUGGUAAGCCAUUGCUCUUUUUUCUUUUUGAUUAAUUUUGAUCUAUUGAUUCUUAUGUGUUUGAUGUGAUUUGCUACCUUGCAUUAAUCACAGAGGUACACCAGAACAUCGUAUUAGGACUUUCACACUCAAGAAAGAUAAAGCCAUAUGCGUAAGUAGACAUUCUAAAGGGUCUAUAUGAUUCAAGGAUAUUAUAGGCUGUUCAUGAGGCCUGCUUAGUUACUAACAUAUUUCUAACAAUCCAAUAUUUUCUUGACGGUGGGGUGUUGAAUUUUGUGUCUGUUGGGGACCACAAGAAGAACAUUUGGCUAUGGAGCUAUGUUUCUGCAACUAAAACUAAAAAAUAUAUCUUUCACAGCUCUCUCACUCUGUCGGCGAGAGCGUGCAUAUGCGAGUUUCUUUUGGAAGUGAUCCAAGCCAACAAUCAUGGAUACAAAAUGUUAGAAUCUCUAUCCACUCAGUCAUAAUGAUAUUGGACUCUCCAUUAACACCUAGGAUGUAUGUCAAUUUGCUUUUCCUUUUCGCUUGAAUCAGAUUAGCUAGCUGUCAAAUUAUUCUCAACCAAUUGUUUCUUAAAUAAGGUGCACAUUCGGGUGCAAGACAAGUUAAAAAACGAUCAAUGGAAUCGGCGAAAGAGCGGGAACCUUUGCUUUUGAUCAGAACGUUUGUGUACAUUCCAAUAGACGAAUUCGAAGCUGCAACGAUUUCCCCCGUUCAGGAGUUCCCCUCACGGCAGAGCUUCACUUUGGUUGAAGAUGAUCAUCCAUUUUUAACGUGUUGUUGUCGUAUUAUUUACACUCAAUGAAAAAAACCACCACGAAUUAGUUUUCAUGUUAAUCUUUGAUACAAAAACCAUUGGCUGAUUAUUAUAUCACUGGAAGAGACAUGUCUAACAAUAAUAAUCUCUUUAAAUAGUGUUUUAAUACUUUGGAGUAAGAAGACAAGGAAUUAAAAACUACCUAUGAUUUGGUUAUAGGUUUAAUAUAUAUAUAUAUAUAUUUCAAAUUGUU